rnacentral:rRNA from 1 species
UACAGAGGGUGCGAGCGUUAAUCGGAAUUACUGGGCGUAAAGCGUGCGUAGACGGCUAUCUAAGUCGAACGUGAAAUCCCCGGGCUCAACCCGGGAACUGCGUCCGAUACUGGAAGGCUUGAAUCCGGGAGAGGGAUGCGGAAUUCCAGGUGUAGCGGUGAAAUGCGUAGAUAUCUGGAGGAACACCGGUGGCGAAGGCGGCAUCCUGGACCGGCAUUGACGCUGAGGCGCGAAAGCUAGGGGAGCAAACGGG